ACUGAACGCUGGCGGCAGGCUUAACACAUGCAAGUCGAGCGGGGGAGGUUGCUUCGGUAACUGACCUAGCGGCGGACGGGCGAGUAAUGCUUAGGAAUCUGCCUAUUAGUGGGGGACAACGUUUCGAAAGGAACGCUAAUACCGCAUACGUCCUCCGGGAGAAAGUGGGGGCUCUUCGGACCUCACGCUAUCGGAUGAGCCUAGGUCGGAUUAGCUAGUUGGUGGGGUAAAGGCUCACCAAGGCGACGAUCCGUAACUGGUCUGAGAGGAUGAUCAGUCAAACUGGAACUGGGAGACGGGCCAGACUCCUACGGGAGGCAGCAGUGGGGAAUAUUGGACAAGGGGCGAAAGCCUGAUCCAGCCAUGCCGCGUGUGUGAAGAAGGUCUUCGGAUUGUAAAGCACUUUCAGUCGGGAGGAAGGGCUGUAGGUUAAUACCUUGCAGCCUUGACGUUACCCACAGAAUAAGCACCGGCUAACUUCGUGCCAGCCGCCGCCGUAAAAC
rnacentral:rRNA from 1 species